AUGGAUGAUACAAAAAUUGAAUUUCACUUUGCUUUCUGCAUAGGGGUGAGCGGCAAAACCCAUGUGGAACAGAGUCCUGCAUCCCUGAUCGUCCAGGAAGGAGACAACUGCUCCUUGCAAUGCAAUUACACACUGACCCCCUUUAACAAUUUAAGAUGGUAUAAGCAGGAUUCUGGGAGAGGGCUUGUUCCCCUAAUAGUCCUGACUUACAGCAACAGCAGGAAGUCAAGUGGAAGGUAUACAGUCACUCUGAAUCCAGCCUCUUUCCGAAGCUCCCUACAUAUCACAGCUGCCCAGCUCCAAGAUACAGCCUCCUACAUCUGUGUUGUGGGGCGCACCGUGGUUCCCACAUGCUUACAGCCAGUACUCUAA